rnacentral:rRNA from 1 species
UGGGGAAUAUUGCACAAUGGGCGAAAGCCUGAUGCAGCGACGCCGCGUGAGGGACGACGGCCUUCGGGUUGUAAACCUCUUUCAGCAGGGACGAAGCGAAAGUGACUGUACCUGCAGAAGAAGCACCGGCUAACUACGUGCCAGCAGCCGCGGUAAUACGUAGGGUGCAAGCGUUGUCCGGAUUUAUUGGGCGUAAAGAGCUCGUAGGCGGUUUGUCGCGUCGGAUGUGAAAACCUAUGGCUUAACCAUGGGCCUGCAUUCGAUACGGGCAAACUAGAGUUCGGUAGGGGAGACUGGAACUCCUGGUGUAGCGGUGAAAUGCGCAGAUAUCAGGAAGAACACCGGUGGCGAAGGCGGGUCUCUGGGCCGAUACUGACGCUGAGGAGCGAAAGCGUGGGGAGCAAACAGG